rnacentral:rRNA from 1 species
UUGAACGCUGGCGGCAGGCCUAACACACGCAAGUCGAGCGGAUGAAGGGAGCUUGCUCCUGGAUUCAGCGGCGGACGGGUGAGUAAUGCCUAGGAAUCUGCCUGGUAGUGGGGGAUAACGUCCGGAAACGGGCGCUAACACCGCAUACGUCCUGAGGGAGAAAGUGGGGGAUCUUCGGACCUCACGCUAUCAGAUGAGCCUAGGUCGGAUUAGCUAGUUGGUGGGGUAAAGGCCUACCAAGGCGACGAUCCGUAACUGGUCUGAGAGGAUGAUCAGUCACACUGGAACUGAGACACGGUCCAGACUCCUACGGGAGGCAGCAGUGGGGAAUAUUGGACAAUGGGCGAAAGCCUGAUCCAGCCAUGCCGCGUGUGUGAAGAAGGUCUUCGGAUUGUAAAGCACUUUAAGUUGGGAGGAAGGGCAGUAAGUUAAUACCUUGCUGUUUUGACGUUACCAACAGAAUAAGCACCGGCUAACUUCGUG